rnacentral:lncRNA from 1 species
AGAGAAGGAGGGAUAGGAUAGGUGGAAGAGGGAGAGCAAGAAAGACAGGGAAAAAAGAACAGAGACGGGGGAAGGAGAAUCACAGACGCAGCCCCUCAGCAGACCGCAGACACUCCUUACUUCCUUCAACACUCCAAUGACGACCUUACAGUGACAGGCAGCGGCAUCAACAAACUCCCAGUUUACUCACUGGAUCCUCCACAGAGUGGUGUGUCGCUACAGUGGCGAGAAAUCACAGUUCUAACACUGAGCGUACACUCAAGAACAACUCAGUGGAUACAACACAGCGACUCCUCGCUGACGCUUGUCCAAACAUCCCUCCAGCAGCAGCAGCAGCAGCAGCAGCGGUGGUCCAAACAUCUCCAGGAAGUCAUGGAGAAUGGGAAAGCAGAAGAUGGGGAUGAUGGCCACGUGGAUGAAACAGACCUGCAUCUUGCUCAGAUGCAUGCACUUUGGGCUGAUCUGAAGGCAGGGCUCGGAGACGUGGCACGAGAGGUGUCUGUCUUACAGCAGGGAGGACGGCAAGUGGAAGACAGGGUGUCGUCUCAUCACCGAGACAACAAUGAAAAGAUUCUAUCUCUCAGGAACACGAUCAACACCAUACAGGAGGAUCUCAGUGGAGUUCUGGCACAGAUCUCACAGCUGAGCUAUAAGCAGAAAGAACUACAGAGAGACCUGGAACUGCUGCAGACCUUACAACAUAGGUAAGGAAACACACACACACACACACACACACACACACACACACACACACACACACACACACACACACACACACACACACACACACACACACACACACAAACACACACACACAAACACCUCGAGUUCUGUA